CUAAGAAAUGUCAUUAGCUGAUGCAGAGGAAGCACCUCAGUAAAUACAUUGGGAUCCUUACCUGAUGCUCCUUACCACUGCUGACACAUACUGGCUACUUCAAGUUCAGUGCACAUACAUUAAUGAAUUCACAGUUGUUCGAGAUUGUUUGCCCAUUAGCUUCACUACCCCUCACUGCAGCAUUGAUGGUCUAUCCCGCCAAAACACAACACACAAUGUGUCAGCGAUCCUCCCUCCAGCCAAGGAUGGCUAGACACAGCUUGCCGUGGAGCCUGUCAACUCUGUGUAUCAGCCCCAGGGAAUCAAAUGAGAGCAGUGAAACGUGUUCUCUACCUCCAGUGUCUGUAGCCUCUGGCACCUACUGGAUGCUGUACCAGCCUGGCACAGGGCUCUCUGAGGUGGCUAACACUGGAUGUUACACUGCCUGGCUGCAUCCUCAAAACAGUGGAAAGAAAAUACUGAGAAAUAAAAGGGCUAAGCCAGCUACCUGAAUGGUGCUCCUAAUGUCAUCUCAGUUGCUUUAGGCUCUUGGCUGGUAGUGCUCCUUUAUGCAAUGUGUGAAGUGGUGCGACCAGCAGAAGUGUUUUCAAACAUUCAGUCAACAAAAAUUCCUUCUUGCUGUGACUGAAACUUGCUUAUUCUUGUCCAAUUGGAGUAGGUGGUGCUUACCUUCUUAAAAGAGUAUUUUUUUCUCUUGUAUCUCCAAAAUCUCAAGAUUAUUUUUAAAUUCUCAUCCUCUCCUUCAGUGCACUAGCAGUCAGUCCUCAAAUGGUACUGUCUGCAAAUUUAUUGUUUCUUCAUCUGAGAUGAUAAUGAAAUCAAUGUACAGUUCCAGACCCAGAGAGGCCUCCAUCCAACCCUACUGCAUACCUCUGUACAGGCUCUUGGUGAUCCACCAAUAACCGCUUUUCAGACAUGGUUAUACAGCACACUUGACUAAUGAUGCCACAUAUCACACUCAGGUCCCUAGUAACUUCACUAGUGUCCAGAGGACGUGACCCAAGAAACCAUAAAGACCCAUUUCCGACCUUCAGGGUCAUUCACCCUUCCUCCCAAACUCCUCGCACUUUUGCUGUUUACCACACUUCCUCCCAUUCCACACGAAUUCGGAAUGAGGAGGAAAUAAUUCUGAAAUUUUUGUUUGUCCACAAAGUGUACUAAAAAGCCACGGAAGCACAACAGAAGGAAGGCCUCUAAAGGCAACACUAUACAUCUCUACUCUUUGUUUGACCCAUGGCUAGAGUUUAAGCAGCCCAGGGCUGGAAGUAUACAAUGUGCUUGUCUGAGUUUGAAGUAAUCAUAAUGGCACAUUUGCCAUUUUUCCUAUGGCUGACCAAAAAGAUCCAACUGAAACUGUCCAUUUCUUUUAAAAUUUGCUUAAAAUUCUUUAUCUGGUAAAAGCCAAGCUUUUACUCAUCAUCCCUCUGCUCAAAAAGGGAAGCAACAG
rnacentral:lncRNA from 1 species